CCUACGGGUUGCAGCAGUGGGGAAUAUUGCACAAUGGGCGCAAGCCUGAUGCAGCCAUGCCGCGUGUAUGAAGAAGGCCUUAGGGUUGUAAAGUACUCUCAGUUGGGAGGAAGGCGUUGAUGCUAAUAUCAUCAUCGAUUGACAUUACCAACAGAAGAAGCACCGGCUAACUCCGUGCCAGCAGCCGCGGUAAUACGGAGGGUGCAAGCGUUAAUCGGAAUUACUGGGCGUAAAGCGCACGCAGGCGGUUGAUUAAGUUAGAUGUGAAAUCCCCAGGCUUAACCUGGGAAUGGCAUCUAAGACUGGUCAGCUAGAGUCUUGUAGAGGGGGGGUAGAAUUCCGUGUAGCGGUGAAAUGCGUAGAGAUCUGGAGGAAUACCGGUGGCGAAGGCGGCCCCCUGGACAAAGACUGACGCUCAGGUGCGAAAGCGUGGGGAGCAAACAGGAUUAGAUACCCCCGUAGUC
rnacentral:rRNA from 1 species